rnacentral:rRNA from 1 species
UACGUGGGGGGCAAGCGUUGUUCGGAAUUACUGGGCGUAAAGGGCUCGUAGGCGGCCAACUAAGUCAGACGUGAAAUCCCUCGGCUUAACCGGGGAACUGCGUCUGAUACUGGAUGGCUUGAGUGUGGGAGAGGGAUGCGGAAUUCCAGGUGUAGCGGUGAAAUGCGUAGAUAUCUGGAGGAACACCGGUGGCGAAGGCGGCAUCCUGGACCACGACUGACGCUGAGGCGCGAAAGCUAGGGUAGCAAACGGG